CUGAUCCUGAUGACAGCAUCAUGAAAGUUGAACCUGAUCCUUAUGACAGCAUCAUGAAAGAUGAGCCUGAACCUGAUGACAGCAUUGUGAAAGAUGAACCUGAUCCUGAUGACAGGAUUACGAAAGAUAAACCCGAAUCUGAUGAUAGCAUCAUGAAAGAUGAUCCUGAUGACAGUAUUACAAAAGAUGGACCAGAUCCUGACACCAUCAUAAAAGAUGAACCUGAUCUUGAUAAAAGUAUUGCGAAAGAUGAACCCGAUCCUGAUGACAACAUCUUGAAAGAUGAACCUGAUCCUGAUCCUGAUGAAAGUAUCACGAAAGAUGAACCCGAUCCUCGUGAAUCUAUCACGAAAGAUGAACCCGAUCCUCGUGAAUCUUUGGGGAAAAUGGUAGAUUAUCUUAAGCAUGGAAGCUAUAAUGCUGAAACUAUCCGUGGUAAAUCGCUUCUAACAGUGGACGAUGUUAUGCAUGUUGAUUAUUAUGCACAUUCCGAAUCAUUGU
rnacentral:lncRNA from 1 species